CACGGCGCUGGCGACAGCCUGUCUGGUCCCGGGCAGCUUUGCACCUGCCCGGGACUGCCUGCAAACGCCCGAGCCGUUUGCAAAGGCUCGGGACAUAACAAACCGCUUCAAGUUAACAGCUGCUUCUCUUAAAAAGGCAAUGGAGAGAUGCUUCUCUGUUACCCCACGUACCGGUAGUCUUAACUGGUGUUUCCAAAUCUGUUGCCUACCCCUGGACUAGAAGACCUCCAAGGCCACUUCCAACUCUUGUUGUUCUGUGGUCUUGUAUUCUAGAUUAUCAGCUGCAUUUAAAUAGCCAAGUGUAUUUUAUGCUCCUCAGAAGUGCAGUUAUAUUAUUCAUGCUCCUGUUAGUGAACAGUACCACAGGUCGAAUACUCACAUGACAGCAUAAGUUUUUCAUUAUUUUUAUAUGAAAUACUUCCAUAUAUAAGCCAUCCUCAUUUAGUGACUGUCUUGGACAGCAAUCACAAUAAGGAUGCUGAUGAAAAAGUAACAGUAUAACCAAUCCUCUCAUUUAUGACUUUCAGAGGCCCAUAAAGCAAAGGAAAGCUGAAGAUUGCAAGCACAGUCACAGUUUCACUUAGUGAUCACUUUGCUUAAUAUCUGAGUUGCUGGUCACAAAGGCAGUCACUAAAUAAGGAUUAUUGUACUCUUUAAAAUUACAGCUUGAUAACCUGUAUUGUAAUAGUAAAAAAGGAGAGUGUUGGUUUCAAAAAUUUAAAUGUGAGACAGUGUUCCUCAAAUUUAAAGGGUGCAUUCAAAUCCAUUCUUAUAACUAAUAAUUUAUAGAUUUUGAUUUACACUGUUGAGAAUUCUUAGCUACUGUUUAGGAAUAUUUUAAUUGCAGGGGUAAUUAUUUGAAUCAAGCAAUUACUGUUAAUGAGCUAGUAAGAUAGAAUGAGCAGCAGGAAGUGAGGCUGGCAUGUAUUAAGAGAUAGCUUUCUGCAUCAGAGUUGCCUUUCAGCUUGAUGUCUUAAGUGGUGAGGGUAGUGCUCCUGGGUUGGCAUUGCCAGGAAGAUCUGAGAGUUCCCUGUUUAACUGUAUUACCUGUAUGUCUUCCUAAUGUCUAUAUCAGGGGUCCCCAACCUGCAGUCCGUGGCCCACUACUGAGCUAUGGCCUACUGACCACUGGGCCGUGGAACAGGCUAGCCAGUUUGUGCACAUGUGUGCACACACUCACCCCCACUCGUGCUAGCUCCGCUGCUGCUACGCAAACGGGGCGCAGUGUGGCAAAAAUAGGGUGCCACUGCUAUACAAACAGGGCGGUGCACAGCACGAAAACUGGGAGGUGUGUGGCGCAAAAAUAGAGGAGAACCAGGCUUUGGGUGGUGUGAAAACCGGGCAGUGCCCAGUGCAAAAAUGGGGAAAACCCAGGCAGUGUGAGAUGCAAAAAUGGGCGAAAACUGGGCAGCACACAGUGCAAAAAUGGGCAAACCGGGUGGCGCAUGGUUCAAAAACCAGGCAGCGUGUGGUGUGAAAAUGAGGUCAUACACAGCACAGAAACGAGGGGAAACCAGGAGGUGCACAGCAUGAAAACAGGUGGCAUGAAAACCGGGUGGCGUGCAGCGCGAAAUCGGGGGCAAACCGGAUGGCACGCGGCAUGAAAACUGGGCACCGCAGGGCAUGAAAAUGGGGUGAUGCUAGCGCCCACGUGGAAAAACCGGUGCGGUGCUAGCAAGUGUCAUGUGGUGCUAGCACUGUCCCAUUUGCGUCACGUGUGCUCAUGGCCCCAUUUGUGUGCGUACAUGUGUGCAUGAGUAAAAUGCUUUCUCCCCCUUUCUCUCUGGUCCGCCAACCAAGAAAGGUUGGAGACCUCUGGUCUAGAUCAGUGUUUCCCAAUCAUGGUAACUUCAUGAUGUGUGUGUGGACUUCAGCUCUCAGAAUUCCCCCAUCAGCAUGUUGUCUAGUAGGGAAUUCUGGGAGUUGAAGUCCUGCACCUUGACAUGGCAAAGACUGAGAAACACUGAUCAAAUAAGAUUUUUAGCUGACUGAACACUGGAAUUGUGGGUCAUACUAGAAGGUACCAUGUUGAAAAAUAUUGUCAUUUUAAAAAAAGUAUAUUAUAAAAGCCCAGUACAUAUUCCCAAGACACUUUUUUUUCAGGCUUUAGCAAUGCUGUCAGGCUCUAAAACUGUGUUUCUCAACCUUGACAAUUUUAAAGCAUGUGGACUUCAACUCCCAGAAUUCCACAGCCAGCAAUGCUGGCUGUGGAAUUCUGGGAGUUGAAGUCCACAUGCCUUAAAAUUGUCAAGGUUGAGAAACACUGCAGAUGUAUACAUUGUGAGCAGAACUGCUAAGUUUAUAGUUAAGGCCUUUGAGCUAAGAACUCGUUAUAUUAAACAGACUGGGUUUCUUGUAAUGUGAUGUAUUUAUCUAAAUGCUGAUUCUUUGUAUUUACCACAUAUGUAUUUUAUUAUUGUAUUUUCUUUUAUUUAUUUUACUCUGGAAUUAAAUCAUAUAUUUUAUUUUUAUUUUAUUUUAACUUUUGAUGUGGCCAUAAGACUAAUCAAUUAAUAAACUACUAUCACUGCUGUCAA